rnacentral:rRNA from 1 species
UACAUAGGGUGCAAGCGUUGUCCGGAAUUAUUGGGCGUAAAGAGCUCGUAGGCGGUUUGUCACGUCGGUUGUGAAAAUCCGAGGCUCAACCUCGGACCUGCAAUCGAUACGGGCAGGCUAGAGUUCGGUAGGGGAGACUGGAAUUCCUGGUGUAGCGGUGAAAUGCGCAGAUAUCAGGAGGAACACCGGUGGCGAAGGCGGGUCUCUGGGCCGAUACUGACGCUGAGGAGCGAAAGCGUGGGGAGCGAACAGG